rnacentral:rRNA from 1 species
GAUGAACGCCGGCGGCGUGCCUAAUACAUGCAAGUCGAGCGAAUGGAUUAAGAGCUUGCUCUUAUGAAGUUAGCGGCGGACGGGUGAGUAACACGUGGGUAACCUGCCCAUAAGACUGGGAUAACUCCGGGAAACCGGGGCUAAUACCGGAUAACAUUUUGAACCGCAUGGUUCGAAAUUGAAAGGCGGCUUCGGCUGUCACUUAUGGAUGGACCCGCGUCGCAUUAGCUAGUUGGUGAGGUAACGGCUCACCAAGGCAACGAUGCGUAGCCGACCUGAGAGGGUGAUCGGCCACACUGGAACUGAGACACGGCCCAGACUCCUACGGGAGGCAGCAGUAGGGAAUCUUCCGCAAUGGACGAAAGUCUGACGGAGCAACGCCGCGUGAGUGAUGAAGGCUUUCGGGUCGUAAAACUCUGUUGUUAGGGAAGAACAAGUGCCGGAGUAACUGCCGGCGCCUUGACGGUACCUGACCAGAAAGCCUCGGCUAACUACGUGCCAGCCGCCGCGGUAA